rnacentral:rRNA from 1 species
CCUACGGGUGGCAGCAGUGAGGAAUAUUGGUCAAUGGCCGGAAGGCUGAACCAGCCAUGCCGCGUGAAGGUCAAUGCCCUAUGGGCGUUAAACUUCUUUUGUGCGGGAGCAAUAAUGGUCAAGUGUGGCCAGACGAGAGUACCGUACGAAUAAGCAUCGGCUAACUCCGUGCCAGCAGCCGCGGUAAUACGGGGGAUGCAAGCGUUAUCCGGAUUUAUUGGGUUUAAAGGGUGCGUAGGCUGUGAGGUAAGUCAGCGGGGAAAUGCCCCCGCUCAACGGGGUGAAGUGCCAUUGAUACUGCCUUGCUGGAGUGCGGAUGCCGUGGGAGGAAUGUGUGGUGUAGCGGUGAAAUGCAUAGAUAUCACACAGAACACCGAUUGCGAAGGCAUCUCACGAAUCCGCGAUUGACGCUGAUGCACGAAAGCGUGGGUAUCAAACAGGAUUAGAUACCCCAGUAGUC